rnacentral:lncRNA from 1 species
AGGAACUCCGCCAACCAGGGACGCUCAAGGCGGCCUUAGCGGAGUUCAUCUGUACCCUGAUCUUCGUGUUCGCAGGUCAGGGUUCUGGCAUGGCUUUCAACAAGCUAUCAGUUGACGGUACCGCUACUCCCUCCGGCCUAAUCUCUGCCUCUAUAGCGCAUGCCUUCGGGCUUUUCGUGGCUGUCUCCGUCGGUGCUAACAUCUCCGGCGGCCACGUUAAUCCCGCCGUUACCUUCGGUGCUUUCGUUGGUGGAAACAUCACUUUGUUUCGUGGGAUUCUCUACAUUAUUGCACAGUUGCUUGGAUCCACUGUUGCUUGCUUCCUCCUUGAAUUUGCCACUGGUGGCAUGGUAAGCAUAUAUUUCUCCGGUCCACUUUAAUGAUUUGUUAGUCUUUUUUGUGUGGUGCAUAAUAUUUAAUUUUUUCAAAUAUCAAAGAAAGAAUUAAAGUUUUUUAUUCAAAGUUACCCUUUGAGUAAAACGAAAAAUCACUGGAUCGGAGGGAGGGAGUAUAACAAACUUAAUUUGUUGACUAAUUAGCCUGUAUUUAAUUUUAUCACGCUAUAGCCUUUAUGACAUGAUGUUAACAGUUCUAACUUCCUAUUCUAUCGCUUUAGUAGUAGGCGUCUUAAUCUUUGACUUUUUUACAUUUAGCUUUUUUCUUAUAAAAAAAGAAAAAAGGGAGGAAAAAAAAUAUAAGUUAACUCGUAGUCUUAUACCUAACUUUUACAAUUUUGAGCUAUAAAGGCAGAUUAUAGUCAUUUACCUUUUGAAGUAUCUGGGAUGCAAUAAAUAAUUAUUUAUUCAAUUUCUUCUCUUGAGUGGAUAAUGAAUAUAUGGUGGGUGUAUGAGAGAGAAAUCACGAGCUUUUGCAACUCUUCUGGAAGUUCACGUACAGUUUUUCCUUUCUGAUAAGUAGUAAAAGGAAAAUGGUAUAGACUUUUUUGUUUUCAGCCAUGUGAGGAAAUGUUAUGCCCUUUUUGAAAAUUAUCCUGAAUUACUAUAUGGAGUACUUCAUUUUUACCAUGAAAUAUAUGAGGACAUGGAAAUUUUUGCCUAGUUUCUAAACCAAAAAUUACAAAAUAUAUACUAGCUAGGUAUGUGGUCUGCUGACUCUAUAAUAGACAGUAUUAGGAGAUUUUUUCUUGAUUUUUAGGAAAUUUCCAUUACCACGAGGUUCAUUAGCCAUUAAAUAUCAAAUCUUAUGUCACUCCCUUGUUAAUUUGACCCAUGAAAGCGAAGAUGGCGAGUGAAAGUUGAAUGAAUGCUCUAAGGUCAUUUAUGAUAAUUUUUAUACCAUAGAAAUUAUCGUUUAUUAUUAUUAUUGAUAAAAGUUGAACUAUUGGCUGGUGUCAAUAUAUGUCAUUAUCGUUGAGAUGGUUCAUAUAAUUGUUUGUUGUGCGAGGGUGACAUCUCUGAUUAGAGUGUAAAAAAUGCUUAUUUAGGACAAUAAUAGUGCCAUCAAGGGUUUUUACAUAUUUUAUAAAACAUAAAUUUGGAACUCACGGAUUAGCUAGAAAUCUUUUUAUAUCUCGUUUGAGAGCGACAUAUUUUGUCUUCCCAUUAUGUAAGAUAGUGAUAUGAUGGUAAUUAUAUCUAAAGCAAUAUAAUACACAUUUAUUCAAUAUUUAUGAGAGCCAAUUUAGUACCUAACAAUAUUCAUCCGUUAGGUGGCAUUAUUACUUUCUUCUACUUAUAGUGAAAGAAUAUUCCAAUCAUAUUCCUUUAUUACACUGUCAGAGUAAAAAAGAUUUGCAUUAUUUUAACAUGUUAUAUCAAAUGUUCCAUGUUUAUAGAUUAUAACUUGUUCAUAUAGGUACCUUAAUCUGAUGGCAUAAAUAUUCUGUAUACAAAACUUAAAAUCCUUUUUAAUUUUCAUUAAUUCUGAGAGUGAAUACUAACAAUUGUGAUGGUUAAAUAAUAAUGCAGAGCACAGGAGCAUUUGCAUUGUCAGCUGGUGUAUCAGUAUGGAAUGCUUUUGUCUUUGAAAUAGUGAUGACUUUUGGACUUGUUUACACUGUGUAUGCCACUGCUAUUGACCCAAAGAAGGGAGACUUGGGAGUAAUUGCACCAAUUGCCAUUGGUUUUAUUGUUGGUGCCAACAUUUUAGCUGGUGGGGCCUUUACUGGAGCUUCAAUGAACCCUGCUGUCUCAUUUGGUCCUGCUUUGGUUAGCUGGACCUGGACCCACCAAUGGGUCUACUGGGCUGGGCCCCUUGUUGGUGGUGGGAUUGCUGGUGUUGUCUAUGAACUCAUCUUCAUCAACCACUCCCAUGAGCCACUCCCAAGUGGAGAUUUUUAAGAUAUUCAAAUUUCAACCUCUGUUGCUUUGAUUUUCUCUUUGGAGUUUUCCUUGUUGUGUCUAUGUUUAUUGGACGCCGUUGAAUUGUACUGU